rnacentral:lncRNA from 1 species
UGCCUCAAUCCGUUUAUGUAAGUUUUAUGUCUAAAUGGAUAUUCUGAUCAAUCAUUCUUAAACACACAGACUACAUUCAUGCUUAAAGUUUUGAACUCCUUUCUAAGCCUUGGAACAUCAAAUCUGGGAUCACAAAAUAUCGGACUGACAUCAGUUCCACGUAACAUAGGUUGAAAACUCGGAAACAAUCUUAUACUGUGUUAUAAGCUUAUAAUGGAACCGUGAUGAGUCAAAAAGCCUGCCCAAAGUUACAUUGCAGUCUAUGACAGACAGCGUCACAAUAUUGAAUGCAUUAAGAUAAAUGCCAUCCAAAACUAUCGAUAGGUUACCAACUCAUUAAUUGUCCAACAAAUGAAGAUCCUGAGCUGACCUCUAAAUAUCCACAGAACAAGCUUGGUUUGUUGAAUAGUACAUGACGCAUCACACCAAUAUCUUGAACAGGGCAACCUUUUUUUUUACAAGAAAUGUUCACCAAAUAGUCUUGACAAAUACCACAGGCCCUGUAGCAACUAUACUAUGUCACAGGUUGUAUGAUUUCAGAAUUACAUUGAUGUAUCAGAAUAUGUUUAACUAUCCAGAAGAAUUAAACAAACAAAUACGCUGAGAACAACGAAAAAAAUAAUGUUACUAGUCUAGCUACAAAAAAAUAUUACAUCAAACACAAAUAUUCACCCACAAUUAUAGGAACUUGCAAUGAAUAGUAUUAUAUUAAAUUUUAUUAAUCAAAUCCUAAAUGCACUACUAAUAUAUGAUUCUCCUUUUGCAAUUUCAAAGGUUAAAAGUAACAAGAGAGACUAAGGAGCUUUUGCGAUGUGGAGUCCAGAUGUAGCUCAAAUAAUAACAAAGCAUAUUAUUGGGCAACGAUGGACACUUUUCCAAAAGAUGUUAUCAUACAACAUGGGAAACCCAUAUGUAUCAGACUCACUCUUGGUAUAUUAUGUCCCAGACAUGUAACGGUAUCCACCAAAUUCCAAACAAAGCAGACACCUGACUAUGUCUGGUAUUCAAAAUAAAAAAAUGUCAUGAAUUGUUUUUCUAUAUUAACUGUUUGCCAACCAAGGAAAAAAAAACUAAAAGGUAUUCUACCACUAUAAUAGGAACUUGACAUAAAUGAUAAGAGGGGCAAAGGUUUUGUGAUGUGAAGUUCAGAUGUAGCUCAAAUAAUAACAGUAUAUUAUUGGGUAACGAUGAACACCUUUCAAAGAGUUAUAAAACAACAUGGGAAACCCAUAUUUAUCAUACACACUCCAAGGAUAUUAUGUCCCAGACAUGUAACAGUCUCUACCAAAUUUCCAAACACGGCAGACACCUGACUAUGUCUGGUAUUCAAAAGAAAAACAAAUCAUGAAUUGAUUUCCUCCACAACAAACGGAAAAAAAACUGACAGGUAUUCAACCACCAUAAUAGGAACUUGCAAUAAUUAAAUCUUGUUUGUGUGUAGCAUUCAUAUAUUCUAAAGGCAUGACUAAUGCAAAAAAGUUUUGCUUGAAAGGAAAAAAGUUGAGUAAAGGGCAGAAAUUGUGAUGUAGAGCCCAGAUGUAGCUCAAAUAAUAACAAUGCGUAUUAUUGGGCAACGAUGGACACCUUUCCAAGAGUUAUAAGACAACAUGGGAAACCCAUAUUUAUGAUACACACUCUAAGGAUAUUAUGUACCAGACAUGUAACAGUCUCUACCAAAUUUCCAAACAUGGCAGACACCUGACUAUGUCUGGUAUUCAAAAGAAAAACAAAUCAUGAAUUGUUUUCCUCCACAACAAACGGAAAAAAAACAGACAGGUAUUCAACCACCAUAAUAGGAACUUGCAAUAAUUAAAUCUUGUUUGUGUGUAGCAUUCAUAUAUUCUAAAGGCAUGACUAAUGCAAAAAAGUUUUGCUUGAAAGGAAAAAAGUUGAGUAAAGGGCAGAAAUUGUAGAGCCCAGAUGUAGCUCAAAUAAUAACAAUGUGUAUUAUUGGGCAACGAUGGACACCUUUCCAAGAGUUAUAAGACAACAUGGGAAACCCAUAUUUAUCAUACACACUCUAAGGAUAUUAUGUCCCAGACAUGUAACAGUCUCUACCAAAUUUCCAAACACGGCAGACACCUGACUAUGUCUGGUAUUCAAAAGAAAAAACAAAUCAUGAAUUAUUUUCCUCAGCAACAAACGGAAAAAAAACUAACACGGGUAUUCAACCACCAUAAUUGGAACUUGCAAUAAUUAAAUCUUGUUUGUGUGUCUAAUGCAAAAAAGUCCAGAUGUAGAGUCCAGAUGUAGCUCAAAUAAUAACAAUCCAUAUUAAUGGGCAACGAUGGACACCUUCAAAAGAGAUUAUAUAAUACAACAUGGGAAACCCAUAUUUAUCAAACGCACUCUCAGUAUAUUAUGUCCCAGACAUGUAACAGUCUCUACCAAAUUACCAAACACGGUAGACACCUGACUAUGUCUGGUAUUCAAAAUGUAAAAAAAACAUGUCAUGAAUAGCAACCAAGGCAAAAGAAAAGUAAAUAGGAACAUGUCAUAAUUAUUGUUUAAGUGUGUAUAUCAAUAGAUUCUAAAUUCUAAUAUCAUGACUAAUGCAGACAAGUUUUGGUUGAAAGGAACAAAGGUGAAUGAGGGGGCAGAGAUUGUGAUGUGGAGUCCAGAUGUAGCUCAAAUAAUAUAAACUAAUACAUU